rnacentral:rRNA from 1 species
AAGUCGAACGAGUUCUCGUUGAUGAUCGGUGCUUGCACCGAGAUUCAACAUAGAACGAGUGGCGGACGGGUGAGUAACACGUGGGUAACCUGCCCUUAAGUGGGGGAUAACAUUUGGAAACAGAUGCUAAUACCGCAUAGAUCCAAGAACCGCAUGGUUCUUGGCUGAAAGAUGGCGUAAGCUAUCGCUUUUGGAUGGACCCGCGGCGUAUUAGCUAGUUGGUGAGGUAAUGGCUCACCAAGGCGAUGAUACGUAGCCGAACUGAGAGGUUGAUCGGCCACAUUGGGACUGAGACACGGCCCAAACUCCUACGGGAGGCAGCAGUAGGGAAUCUUCCACAAUGGACGCAAGUCUGAUGGAGCAACGCCGCGUGAGUGAAGAAGGCUUUCGGGUCGUAAAACUCUGUUGUUGGAGAAGAAUGGUCGGCGGAGUAACUGUUGUCGGCGUGACGGUAUCCAACCAGAAAGCCACGGCUAACUACGUGCCAGCAGCCGCGGUAAUACGUAGGUGGCAAGCGUUAUCCGGAUUUAUUGGGCGUAAAGCGAGCGCAGGCGGUUUUUUAAGUCUGAUGUGAAAGCCCUCGGCUUAACCGAGGA